AAUUGCUCGUGGCUCGGCUUGUGGCUGGAGCACUGAAGUCCUCCGAGUAGUGCGCGAAGCGUGUGCAAGCUUCUGCUACGGAGAUCUUUGCGCCAUCACGAUUCAGAUUGAGGCUACGUGCGCAGUAUAACCACUCGGGCGGGGAGUGACCAGCAACUAGGGUGACUCCGCGGCAUCACAGGCUGCUGCUCUGUUUGGGAACAUAGUCCCCUUUUGGGUUGCUGCUUUCCACUGGCGCGACAGGUCGUGGGCUACUGUGGUCGGGUUCUAUCGACGCAGCGCAGACCCCCAGCACUGCGCACUCUCACCUGCUGACUACCUUCACUCGCGGCAACACCGCUGACCGCAU